rnacentral:rRNA from 1 species
UGGGGAAUAUUGGACAAUGGGCGAAAGCCUGAUCCAGCCAUGCCGCGUGAGUGACGAAGGCCUUAGGGUUGUAAAACUCUUUCGUCGGGGACGAUAAUGACGGUACCCGAAGAAGAAGCUCCGACUAACUUCGUGCCAGCAGCCGCGGUAAUACGAAGGGAGCUAGCGUUGUUCGGAAUCACUGGGCGUAAAGCGCACGUAGGCGGAUAGUUAAGUCAGGGGUGAAAUCCUGGGGCUCAACCCCAGAACUGCCUUUGAUACUGGCUGUCUCGAGGUCGAGAGAGGUUGGUGGAAUUCCUAGUGUAGAGGUGAAAUUCGUAGAUAUUAGGAAGAACACCAGUGGCGAAGGCGGCCAACUGGCUCGAUACUGACGCUGAGGUGCGAAAGCGUGGGGAGCAAACAGGAUUAGAUACCCAUGUAGUCCCUGAGCGGGCUGGCAAGGCGCAU